GACGAACGCUGGCGGCGUGCUUAACACAUGCAAGUCGAACGAACCCUUCGGGGUUAGUGGCGGACGGGUGAGUAACACGUGGGAACGUGCCUUUAGGUUCGGAAUAACUCAGGGAAACUUGUGCUAAUACCGAAUGUGCCCUUCGGGGGAAAGAUUUAUCGCCUUUAGAGCGGCCCGCGUCUGAUUAGCUAGUUGGUGAGGUAAUGGCUCACCAAGGCUACGAUCAGUAGCUGGUCUGAGAGGAUGACCAGCCACAUUGGGACUGAGACACGGCCCAAACUCCUACGGGAGGCAGCAGUGGGGAAUCUUGCGCAAUGGGCGAAAGCCUGACGCAGCCAUGCCGCGUGGAUGAUGACGGUCUUAGGAUUGUAAAAUCCUUUCACCGGUGAAGAUAAUGACUGUAGCCGGAGAAGAAGCCCCGGCUAACUUCGUGCCAGCAGCCGCGGUAAAAC
rnacentral:rRNA from 1 species